ACGACGCUGGCGGCGUGCCUAACACAUGCAAGUCAACUUGACUGAAGGAGCAAUCUGACAGUAGAGUGGCGCAAGGGUGCGUAACGCGUAAGUAACUUGCCCAAGGUAAGGAAUAACGUCGAGAAAUCGGCGCUAAUACCUCAUAAUGCAGCGGAUCCGCAUGGAUAUGUUGUUAAAGGUUUACCGCCUUUGGGAUAGGCUUGCGUCUGAUUAGUUAGUUGGUGUGGUAACGGCACACCAAGGCUACGAUCAGUAACUGGUCUGAGAGGAUGAUCAGUCACACUGGAACUGAGACACGGUCCAGACUCCUACGGGAGGCAGCAGUGAGGAAUAUUGGGCAAUGCUCGAAAGAGUGACCCAGCAACGCCGCGUGGAGGAUGAAGGUAUUCUAUAUCGUAAACUCCUGUGAGAGCAGACGAAAGACAGAUUAUUAAUCUGGAUGACUGUAUGCUCAGAGGAAGCCCCGGCUAACUACGUG
rnacentral:rRNA from 1 species